rnacentral:rRNA from 1 species
UACAGAGGGUGCAAGCGUUGUUCGGAAUUAUUGGGCGUAAAGGGCGCGUAGGCGGUGCGGUAAGUCUGUAGUGAAAUCUCUGGGCUCAACUCAGAGUCUGCUAUAGAAACUGCCGUGCUUGAGUGUGGGAGAGGUGAGUGGAAUUCCCGGUGUAGCGGUGAAAUGCGUAGAGAUCCGGAGGAACACCAGUGGUGAAGGCGGCUGACUGGACCUGACCUGACGCUGAGGCGCGAAGGCGUGGGGAGCGAACGGGG